rnacentral:lncRNA from 1 species
CACUCCUCAUGGCCUAUGCUCCAUAUCUGCUGCCAACAGAAACUUGUCAUGAGUUUUGUAGUUAACACACUUCAGUGCUAUGAGCCUUCAGGACUGCACCAGAGUCAACAUAGCCUUUGUAUGAUGGCAGAUUGGUUCUUUAUUUCAUUUGUGGCUGGAGACAAAGACAAUGAGUCCAUUGGUGAAACUGGAUUGCUGAAGUCACCUAAUAGUUAUUAAUAUGCUGAGUUAAUCUUGUAUGCUGACACUUUGGAAGCAACCUAGAUGCCUCUCAGAUGAAAAAUAGAUGGAGAAAAUGUGGUACAUUUACACAAUUGAGUACUACUCAGCAGAAAGAAACAAUGGAAUCUUGAAAUUCACAGGCAAAUGGAUGGAAUUAGAAGAAAUCAUUCUGAGUGAGGGUCCAACCUGGCCUCAUUCCUCACUGACAUCUCAGAACUGUCUCCUAUGUAUGGCCCAUUUUGGAAGCUUGUAGUAAUGCUAUGUGGACAGGACAAAGAUGAGGAGAAUUGGAAGAACCAUGACAGAAAGCAUCAUGAGCUCAUGGCUCUUCUUUUGGUGGCAGACAGAUUAAAGGAUGUGGAAGAAGGAAGCAUUUGCAUUUUGCUUGCUUGUCCUCACUCUCAGUGGCAAGUCCAUCUAUGCUGUUUACUGAGGCAUUCCUUCACUAGUAUCUCUUAUCUCUAUCUAUCUCUCUGGAAUUCCAUUGCAAACUGAAGACCAGUAGUUCUCUAGGAAUCCUCUGGGACUCCAGCAUCAGACUGUCACUUCUGAGACAUCCAGUGUUGUGAAUUGAACAGCUAUCAGAUUCUUGACCUUCCCAUGGGGAGACAGCUAUUGUAGACUCCCCAGAUCAUAGCCUGUAAGCCAUUAAAAAAACAUAUAAAACAGAAAUAUAUUUGUGUGUUAUAUAUUAAUUUUUGGCAACUAAUAACUCCCAUGUAUACACAUAGAUAGAUAGAUAGAUAGAUAGAUAGAUAGAUAGAUAGAUAGAUACAGAGAAUUUACUAAGUGGCUUACAGGCUC